rnacentral:misc_RNA from 1 species
UUUCCGUAGGUGAACCUGCGGAAGGAUCAUUAACACGUUUUCCGAACGCUUUGACCCACCCUAUUUUCUGUGCUCUAUUCAACCCGGCCUCCUGACCCAACCUGCUGGUUUACUGGCUGUGUUCUGGUCGGGCGUCUUCAGGGCUCAUAGGCCUCGUUGUCAGAAAGAUUGUCCGUGCGUAAUGCAGCAUGUCUUUCGAGUAUGACUUUGGGACCUCCUGGAGGCGUUGCCACCCAACCCAAAACCCUCGAAUCUAACUGCUCUAACUUUUAAGUUGCGUGCGAUUCAGCAACCCUCGUGGUUCCUGCUUUGUGCCAACGAUCUUAAUCAACAACAACUCUUAACAAUGGAUAUCUUGGUUCUC